UACGUAGGGAGCGAGCGUUGUCCGGAUUUAUUGGGCGUAAAGAGCGCGUAGGCGGCUUGGUAAGCCGGAUGUGAAACCCCCGAGCUCAACUCGGGGCGGCCAUUCGGAACUGCCAUGGCUAGAGUCUGGUAGGGGAACACGGAAUACCUGGUGUAGCGGUGAAAUGCUUAGAUAUCAGGUGGAACACCAGUGGCGAAGGCGGUGUUCUGGGCCAGUACUGACGCUGAGGCGCGAAAGCGUGGGGAGCGAA
rnacentral:rRNA from 1 species